rnacentral:rRNA from 1 species
AGGAACUCUGCAAAAUAGCACCGUAUCUUCGGUAUAAGGUGUGGUUAGCUUCGUACUAGGAUUUACUCCGAAAGCGAAGAAACUUACAACAAAGAGUCCCUCCCGACUGUUUACCAAAAACACAGCACUCUGCUAACUCGUAAGAGGAUGUAUAGGGUGUGACGCCUGCCCGGUGCUCGAAGGUUAAUUGAUGGGGUUAGCAUUAGCGAAGCUCUUGAUCGAAGCCCGAGUAAACGGCGGCCGUAACUAUAACGGUCCUAAGGUAGCGAAAUUCCUUGUCGGUUAAAUACCGACCUGCAUGAAUGGCGUAACGAGAUGGGAGCUGUCUCAAAGAGGGAUCCAGUGAAAUUGUAGUGGAGGUGAAAAUUCCUCCUACCCGCGGCAAGACGGAAAGACCCCGUGGACCUUUACUACAGCUUGACACUGCUACUUGGAUAAGAAUGUGCAGGAUAGGUGGGAGGCUUUGAGUAUAUGACGCCAGUUGUAUAUGAGCCAUUGUUGAGAUACCACUCUUUCUUAUUUGGGUAGCUAACCAGCUUGAGUUAUCCUCAAGUGGGACAAUGUCUGGUGGGUAGUUUGACUGGGGCGGUCGCCUCCCAAAUAAUAACGGAGGCUUACAAAGGUUGGCUCAGAACGGUUGGAAAUCGUUCGUAGAGUAUAAAGGUAUAAGCCAGCUUAACUGCAAGACAUACAAGUCAAGCAGAGACGAAAGUCGGUCUUAGUGAUCCGGUGGUUCUGUGUGGAAGGGCCAUCGCUCAAAGGAUAAAAGGUACCCCGGGGAUAACAGGCUGAUCUCCCCCAAGAGCUCACAUCGACGGGGAGGUUUGGCACCUCGAUGUCGGCUCAUCGCAUCCUGGGGCUGGAGCAGGUCCCAAGGGUAUGGCUGUUCGCCAUUUAAAGCGGUACGCGAGCUGGGUUCAGAACGUCGUGAGACAGUUCGGUCCCUAUCUGCCGUGGGCGUAAGAAGAUUGAAGAGAUUUGACCCUAGUACGAGAGGACCGGGUUGAACAAACCACUGGUGUAGCUGUUGUUCUGCCAAGAGCAUCGCAGCGUAGCUAAGUUUGGAAAGGAUAAACGCUGAAAGCAUCUAAGCGUGAAGCCAACUCUAAGAUGAAUCUUCUCUAAGCUCUCUAGAAGACUACUAGUUUGAUAGGCUGGGUGUGUAAUGGAUGAAAGUCCUUUAGCUGACCAGUACUAAUAGAGCGUUUG